rnacentral:rRNA from 1 species
CACGCCGUAAACUAAUGCGCGUUAGGUGUAUCGGUGACCACGAGUUACCGAGGUGCCGAAGGGAAACCGUGAAACGUGCCGCCUGGGAAGUACGGUCGCAAGGCUGAAACUUAAAGGAAUUGGCGGGGGAGGCACCACAACAGGUGGAGCCUGCGGUUUAAUUGGACUCAACGCCGGGAAGCUCACCGGAUAGGACAGCAGAAUGAUUGCCGGGCUGAAGACCCUGCAUGACUAGCUGAGAGGUGGUGCAUGGCGUCAGUGACU